rnacentral:rRNA from 1 species
CCAUGCCGCGUGUGUGAAGAAGGCCUUCGGGUUGUAAAGCACUUUCGGACGGAACGAAAUCGCGCGGGUUAAUAGCCCGCGUGGAUGACGGUACCGUAAGAAGAAGCACCGGCUAACUACGUGCCAGCAGCCGCGGUAAUACGUAGGGUGCGAGCGUUAAUCGGAAUUACUGGGCGUAAAGUGUGCGUAGGCGGCGUCGCAAGUCGAGUGUGAAAGCCCCGGGCUUAACUUGGGAAUUGCGCUCGAAACUACGGUGCUCGAGUGUGGCAGAGGGAGGUGGAAUUCCACGUGUAGCGGUGAAAUGCGUAGAGAUGUGGAGGAACACCAAUGGCGAAGGCAGCCUCCUGGGCCAACACUGACGCUCAUGCACGAAAGCGUGGGGAGCAAACAGGAUUGGAUACCCUGGUAGUCCACGCCCUAAACGAUGAUGACUAGUUGUUGGGGGAGUUAAAUCCCUUAGUAACGCAGCUAACGCGCGAAGUCAUCCGCCUGGGGAGUACGGUCGCAAGAUUA